AACGAACGCUGGCGGCAUGCCUAACACAUGCAAGUCGAACGAGAUCUUCGGGUCUAGUGGCGCACGGGUGCGUAACGCGUGGGAAUCUGCCCUUUGGUUCGGAAUAACAGUUGGAAACGACCGCCAAUACCGGAUGAUGACGAAAGCCCAAAGAUUUAUCGCCAGAGGAUGAGCCCGCGUAGGAUUAGCUAGUUGGUGUGGUAAAGGCGAACCAAGGCGACGAUCCUUAGCUGGUCUGAGAGGAUGAUCAGCCACACUGGGACUGAGACACGGCCCAGACUCCUACGGGAGGCAGCAGUGGGGAAUAUUGGACAAUGGGCGAAAGCCUGAUCCAGCAAUGCCGAGUGAGUGAUGAAGGCCUUAGGGUUGUAAAGCUCUUUUACCCGGGAUGAUAAUGACAGUACCGGGAGAAUAAGCUCCGGCUAACUCCGUGCCAGCCGCCGCGGUAA
rnacentral:rRNA from 1 species